UAGAGUUUGAUCCUGGCUCAGGACGAACGCUGGCGGCGUGCUUAACACAUGCAAGUCGAACGAGAAUCACUGGAAGGAGUUUUCGGACAACGGAAGGUGAGGACAGUGGCGGACGGGUGAGUAACGCGUGAGGAACCUGCCUUUCAGAGGGGGACAACAGUUGGAAACGACUGCUAAUACCGCAUGAUGCAUAGAGAUCGCAUGGUUUUUAUGCCAAAGAUUUAUCGCUGAAAGAUGGCCUCGCGUCUGAUUAGCUAGUUGGUGAGGUAACGGCCCACCAAGGCGACGAUCAGUAGCCGGACUGAGAGGUUGACCGGCCACAUUGGGACUGAGAUACGGCCCAGACUCCUACGGGAGGCAGCAGUGAGGAAUAUUGGUCAAUGGAGGCAACUCUGAACCAGCCAAGUAGCGUGCAGGACGACGGCCCUAUGGGUUGUAAACUGCUUUUAUAAGGGGAUAAACUGCGCCACGUGUGGCGCACUGCAUGUACCUUAUGAAUAAGGACCGGCUAAUUCCGUGCCAGCAGCCGCGGUAAUACGGAAGGUCCGGGCGUUAUCCGGAUUUAUUGGGUUUAAAGGGAGCGCAGGCGGGCGAUUAAGCGUGACGUGAAAUGCAGCGGCUCAACCGUGUGAAGUGCGUCGCGAACUGGUUGCCUUGAGUGAGUUCGACGUGCGCGGAAUUCGUGGUGUAGCGGUGAAAUGCUUAGAUAUCACGAAGAACUCCGAUUGCGAAGGCAGCGCACGAGGCCUUUACUGACGCUAAAGCUCGAAGGUGCGGGUAUCGAACAGGAUUAGAUACCCUGGUAGUCCGCACGGUAAACGAUGGAUGCCCGCUGUUUGCGAUACACUGUGAGCGGCCAAGCGAAAGGGUUAACCCUCCCCACCUGGGGAAGAACCCCGGCAACGGUGAAACUUAAAGGAAUUUGACGGGGGCCCGCACAAGCGGAGGAACAUGUGGUUUAAUUCGAUGAUACGCGAGGAACCUUACCCGGGCUUGAACUGCCGGCGAACGAUACAGAGAUGUUGAGGCCCUUCGGGGCGCCGGCGGAGGUGCUGCAUGGUUGUCGUCAGCUCGUGCCGUGAGGUGUCGGCUUAAGUGCCAUAACGAGCGCAACCCCUCUCCGUAGUUGCCAUCGGGUGAUGCCGGGCACUCUGCGGACACUGCCACCGUAAGGUGUGAGGAAGGUGGGGAUGACGUCAAAUCAGCACGGCCCUUACGUCCGGGGCUACACACGUGUUACAAUGGGUGGUACAGAGGGCAGGCGUCCGGCAACGUCCGUCUAAUCCCGAAAGCCAUCCUCAGUUCGGACUGGGGUCUGCAACCCGACCCCACGAAGCUGGAUUCGCUAGUAAUCGCGCAUCAGCCAUGGCGCGGUGAAUACAAGCCCGGGCCUUGUACACACCGCCCGUCAAG
rnacentral:rRNA from 1 species